rnacentral:rRNA from 1 species
AUUGAACGCUGGCGGCAGGCCUAACACAUGCAAGUCGAACGAGUGGCGGACGGGUGAGUAAUGUCUGGGAAACUGCCUGAUGGAGGGGGAUAACUACUGGAAACGGUAGCUAAUACCGCAUACCAUCAGAUGUUCCCAGAUGGGAUUAGCUAGUUGGUGGGGUAACGGCUCACCAAGGCGACGAUCCCUAGCUGGUCUGAGAGGAUGACCGGCUACACUGGAACGUGGACAGGGUACAGACUCCUACGGGAGGCAGCAGUGGGGAAGAUUGCACAAUGGGCGCAAGCCUGAUGCAGCCAUGCCGCGUGUAUGAAGAAGGCCUUCGGGUUGUAAAGUACUUUCAGCGGGGAGGCGUUACCCGCAGAAGAAGCACCGGCUAACUCCGUGCCAGCCGCCGCGGUAAUU